CAAUCGGCCCUUUUCAGGGCCACCAACGUCAUCUGACAAGGAACAU
rfam:Nasonia vitripennis chromosome 1, whole genome shotgun sequence.